UACGGGGGGGGUAAGCGUUGUUCGGAAUUACUGGGCGUAAAGGGCUCGUAGGCGGCCAACUAAGUCAUACGUGAAAUCCCUCAGCUUAACUGGGGAACUGCGUGUGAUACUGGAUGGCUUGGAUUUGGGAGAGGGAUGUGGAAUUCCUGGUGUAGCGGUGGAAUGCGCAGAUAUCAGGAGGAACACCUAUAGCGAAGGCAGCUUGCUGGGACGACACUGACGCUAAGGCGCGAAAGCGUGGGGAGCGAACAGG
rnacentral:rRNA from 1 species